CAGAGCCACGGGGUAUAUAGGCAAAACUGCCGCGGCACUGCAGGCCCACUGACACCAAAACAAAGCUGCAGCCUGGGAGGCCGGCCGGCCGGCGGGCUCCACCUACCACUCACAUUAGUUCUAAAUGCCACUAAAUGUCAGGUGGUGUCAUUAAAAAAAAAAAAAAAAGGCGCUCAUGCAAUGCUGGUAUAAAUACAUGACUUCGAGUGGAAGGUGACCGUAUGACUGGGUUACUGUGACACAGUGAGGAUGGAAGUGGAGAUCUGUCUGGCAGACCAAUCAUUUUGUACAUUUACCGGCGAUGGAAUUCGACACGCUACCUGAGCUCAACUCUUUUAUUUCUCCAUUCUCGUCUGCAGCGGCACUCAAUACAAGGCUGAAUAAAUUGUCUCGUGUUACGCAACACUGUCUGGAUUUCAAAUAAAUCUUGGGUGCGUGCACGGCGUUAAGCACGAACAGCAUGGUACGCCGUGAUAGGCACACCUGCAAUAAAUAAAGCCGGGCUCUGGCUGAAGAUCAGAUCAGAAUAUGGGGAAGGAGAGGACAUGCGAGGGGGGUUGAGUUACACAAGCUGCAGACAGCAGAGGUGAGGAACAGGAACAGGGAGACGACGCGUGGCUAGGUUCCUGCUUGCCAGGAGUGAAAUUAGCUUGGAGCCCAGCUGCUGAGGGUAAUUUUCGGCCAUGUGCGACGUUGCUCCACUUGGACAUCGGGUCGCUUCUGGACUCUCUCGCUUAUUUUGAACUCGCCUCAAAUACCGUUUCCUAUUUAUUCAACCUACAAACCGAUUUACCCACCUUAAGGGGAGAUGAUGACACAGACUAACACAGUCUCUCCCUUUAAGGUUAGUCUUAACCUCUCUUUUUAAUAGUGAGAUAGUGAAGCUGCUAUAGGUUUGGGCUGAUGGGAGCACUUUACUGCACCUAGCUUCUUUUCUUUCUCACUCUCCACACAGUACUGUCUCACUACUAUAUACCACUAACAUUCUGUCUCUUUCCUGUAGUCUGUCCUCUCUCUCAGUCCUUGAAUGCAGGAUCUCUGACUGUGAAACUGAAAGCCCUCAUCAAGCCUGCAGAAUGCAUCCACCUCUGAGCCUGGUUCUGCAGGAUUCUUCCUGUUAUAAAGGAGUUUUUCCUUUCCAGCGUCGCUUGCUCAAGUGGAAUCGUUGGUUUUUCCACUUCAAAAGUAUUUCAUUGUGUUGUUUGGCACUUGUCAAUAAAGUUGAACUGAAUUGAAAAAUGACACAAAGGGAGACCAUGCAAACCUCACAAAAGAACCCUGACAGCUCAUGCUGCUUCCACAUCACACCUGUUUGUGCGCUGGUUCCCUGCAGUGGAAUGAUGGGUCAUCUGCAUGUUGCUGCACAUGUUUUGCAGUUAAACUGAAUUUUCCUGCUGUUUUUUUGUUCGGUCUCCAGAUGUUGUCUUGACCUCCGGAGCUCCUUUUGACAGUCAUUCGUUAUUGACAGUGCGGCAGGGAGCCAGUUCCUUCUGCGCUCUUUAAUCACCUGAGUGUUACAACAAAGUUUGAAAAGUUGAAGAAUUAGCAAACCGCGAGUGGAAAAAUCUUAACGACAGUUCACGACCGACCUUAAUUAGUCAAUUAACGGCCAGCGUGAUUUUUUCAUGCAUUCAGCAGAAUCUGUGAGUCGCUGAAACUUUUUUUUUUUUUUUUUUU